AACUUCGUUCCAUUUGUUUUUCAUUUGAAACCUUCACAACUCUUAUUUCACAACUCAAUUUUUGUUUUUCACUAUUUUUCUUCCAAGCAAGCAUUCAUUUUCAUUUUCUCUAUAUUAUAUAUAUAUAUUUUUUUCUUUUCUUUCACAUCAUAUUUAUAAAACAGAUGUUUUUCUUUUCUAAUUUUUUUUAUUUUCAAUGCUUGCUCGAUUUUUUAAGAGUUGUGGCACUUACUGAUUCUCAUUUUCGUUCUCCCCAACUUAUUUCUUACUCACCCUAAGUGAAUGCUCUUAACUUUUUACGGUAAAAGAACAAUAAUCAAGAUUUUUCGGGUUGUAAAAAAAAGAUUUUUGAAAUCUCGCUUUAUUUCAAGCUGAGAUUCAAUUGUUUAAGCUCAAAGGGGUUAACGAAUACUCUCUCUGCUCACAGGUAAGUUAUAUUUGGAACUGGUUGUGCUCGAUAGAAAACAAGUGCCUUGAUCAUUUCUAAUUGCUUCCACAUAUUCACAAUAAUAAAAGACAAAGCAUGAAU
rnacentral:lncRNA from 1 species